rnacentral:rRNA from 1 species
AGUGAACGCUGGCGGUAGGCCUAACACAUGCAAGUCGAACGGCAGCACAGUAAUAGCUUGCUCUUACGGGUGGCGAGUGGCGGACGGGUGAGGAAUACAUCUGAAUCUACUUUUUCGUGGGGGAUAACGUAGGGAAACUUACGCUAAUACCGCAUACGACCUACGGGUUAAAGCAGGGGAUCUUCGGACCUUGCGCGAUUGAAUGAGCCGAUGUCGGAUUAGCUAGUUGGCGGGGUAAAGGCCCACCAAGGCGACGAUCCGUAGCUGGUCUGAGAGGAUGAUCAGCCACACUGGAACUGAGACACGGUCCAGAAUCCUACGGGAGGCAGCAGUGGGGAAUAUUGGACAAUGGGCGCAAGCCUGAUCCAGCCAUACCGCGUGGGUGAAGAAGGCCUUCGGGUUGUAAAGCCCUUUUGUUGGGAAAGAAAAGCAGCAGGUUAAUACCCCGCUGUUCUGGCGGUACCCAAAGAAUAAGCACCGGCUAACUUCGUG